rnacentral:rRNA from 1 species
UGACGAGUGGCGGACGGGUGAGUAAUGCUUGGGAAUCUGGCUUAUGGAGGGGGAUAACUGUGGGAAACUGCAGCUAAUACCGCGUAUUCUCUGAGGAGGAAAGGGUGGGACCUUAGGGCCACCUGCCAUAAGAUGAGCCCAAGUGGGAUUAGGUAGUUGGUGGGGUAAAGGCCUACCAAGCCUGCGAUCUCUAGCUGGUCUGAGAGGAUGACCAGCCACACUGGAACUGAGACACGGUCCAGACUCCUACGGGAGGCAGCAGUGGGGAAUAUUGCGCAAUGGGGGGAACCCUGACGCAGCCAUGCCGCGUGAAUGAAGAAGGCCUUCGGGUUGUAAAGUUCUUUCGGUAAUGAGGAAGGGAUGUUGUUAAAUAGAUAGCAUCAUUGACGUUAAUUACAGAAGAAGCACCGGCUAACUCCGUGCCAGCAGCCGCGGUAAUACGGAGGGUGCGAGCGUUAAUCGGAAUAACUGGGCGUAAAGGGCACGCAGGCGGACUUUUAAGUGAGAUGUGAAAUCCCCGAGCUUAACUUGGGAACUGCAUUUCAGACUGGGAGUCUAGAGUACUUUAGGGAGGGGUAGAAUUCCACGUGUAGCGGUGAAAUGCGUAGAGAUGUGGAGGAAUACCGAAGGCGAAGGCAGCCCCUUGGGAAUGUACUUGACGCUCAUGUGCGAAAGCGUGGG